CAUCAGGCCAUCUUCGAACUGGUAGGAUAACGUGUGGUCACUGGCCUCAUCUUUCUACUGGUGGUUGGUCGUGUCUCAUCCGUUCUUUCCUCCAGCUCCAAUUCAUUGACUCAGGUGACUCAUUGAUAAAAUUAUUCAGCCGGGAAAUAUUAUUUGAGAACUAACACGCUACUAAGAGCUAUCGAUACAGUGGUAAGGAAUGCAUACUGUCCUUGUGGAGGUUAUGGCACAGUGCAGGAGACAGAUAACGGUCAGGGAACCACACAAACCAUCAUAACUGUGGCAAUUGCUUGGAAGGAGAGAGAUGUAAUGCCACAGGAAUCUACAAUUUCUGUGUUUGAUUUAGUCAAAGAAGUCAGGAAAGACUUCUGGCAGUGGCCAAAAGACGCAGGGGGGAGACAAGAACAUUCUAGACACAGGGAACAGCUUGUGCAAAGGCCCUGAGGCAAGAGGGAGGAUGGCAGUAUGAGUAAAUAAAAGAAGGCCAGGGGUGGCUGAAUUGCAGAGUUAGGGGCUUGUAGAAGAAGCAGCAGCUGGAGAGGUUGAUAGGAGCUGAAAACCACGUGAGACUUGAAGGCUAGGUUAAGGAGUUUGCAAUGCUUUCAAAGAGCAGUAGGAAGCUAACUAGGAUUGUAAACAGGUGUGUCUUGAUCAGAUCUGUAUUUUGCGGGAAAAAAAAUCACUCUCAUUGUGUUUGGAAUAAGAGGCCAGAGACGGGCCAGGUUGAUGUAUUAGUUUUGUAUUUCUGCUGAAACAAGUUACCACAAUGAAGCAGUUUAACACAAUAUUGGAGUUUUUGUAGGUCAGCAGCCGGGGCACAGCUGGGUUCUCCUUUAGGAUCUCCCGGGGUAGAAAUACAGGCAUCAGCUGGGCUGAGGGCCUCCUCUCAAUUUCGGGGGUUGUUGGCAGAAUUCAUUUCCUCCUCCAGCUGUCCACGCAGCCCCUCCCAUCUUCAGGGCGGUGAUGGAAGGAUGUGUUCCAGGCCUCUCUCCUGGGCUUGUGGAUGCCAUCUUCUCCCUGUGGAUUCGCAUCGUCUUCCUUCUGUAUGGAGGGGGUUCGAAGGAGACAGAGAGGGGUUCAAGCCUAUCAAAGCAGUGAAGGAUCAAGAAGAUUCCACAGAGAAGGAGCCAUGAGAAGUGGGGUGUGGAUGCUCCACACAGAGAGAGCGCUCAUGUUCUAGCCUCGUCUCCACUGUAUUCUUUUCCUAGAAGCAGUCCAUGAUCAAAGUUCAAGUGAAAGUCAUUGAAGAGAUCUGAAGUCCCCAAACGGGGGACAUUAGUUAUACUGCACUACCAACUCAGCCUCAGGCGCAUAUAGGGCAGCUUAGAUUCUGAAGAAAGUGUCUGGGACCACAGAGAAGACCAGCUUCAGACAUUUUGGGAUAGACUAGUUCUUUGCUGGGGCCUAAAGCUCUGCUUUUGGAACAUUUAAAAUGUAGCAAAAACCUUGAGAAUAAAAGAAAACUUACGUUUUA
rnacentral:lncRNA from 1 species